rnacentral:other from 1 species
AGUCAUCUGUAGUGUUCGUAAGUUCGCUUUAUGUAUUUUGACCUAACACUCUUUGAUCAGGGAGCCCAAUGGGUUUUCUUGCAGCGCACACGCCUCUUUAGGAGGACGUGCAAAACAAGAAACAGGGCACCCACACCUGUAUAUAGCAGGCCAAAAUGAUCAAGCACUUUACAACUACGGCAUAACGGAUCUAUC